rnacentral:rRNA from 1 species
GACGAACGCUGGCGGCGUGCUUAACACAUGCAAGUCGAACGGUGAAGCGCUUGCCUUUUUGGUGGGUGUGGAUGAGUGGCGAACGGGCGAGUAACACGUGAGUAACCUGCCCUCUUCUUCUGGAUAACCUCAUGAAAGUGGGGCUAAUACGGGGUAUUCCGGGUCUGUCGCAUGGCGGGUUUGGGAAAGAUUGCGCCUUUGGGUGUUUUCGGUGGGGGAUGGGCUCGCGGCCUAUCAGCUUGUUGGUGGGGUGAUGGCCUACCAAGGCGGUGACGGGUAGCCGGCCUGAGAGGGUGGACAGCCACACUGGGACUGAGACACGGCCCAGACUCCUGCGGGAGGCAGCAGUGGGGAAUAUUGCACAAUGGGCGCAAGCCUGAUGCAGCGACGCCGCGUGAGGGAUGGAGGCCUUCGGGUUGUGAACCUCUUUCGCCAGUGAAGCAGGCCUGCUCCUGUGUGGGUGGGUUGACGGUAGCUGGAUAAGAAGCGCCGGCUAACUACGUG